AAAAAUUCUAGUGCAAUUCUCAGAAGCAGAUGGUGGGCUUGCUGGCGUCGGAGGGGAGAGAAGCAGGUGCCCCACUUGGUAGCAGGGUGCGGCCUUUGGGAAAGCUGAGUGGACACACGGACAGAAGCAUCGCCAAGCAAGAAACACAGCCAGGGAAGGCCUGCUUCCUUCUGUGCUCCCCCCAGGCCUUGAGGGAAUAAAAUCGGUCGUCAUGCUGGUGUGAAUAU
rnacentral:lncRNA from 1 species